rnacentral:rRNA from 1 species
UACGUAGGUGGCGAGCGUUGUCCGGAUUUACUGGGCGUAAAGAGCGCGCAGGCGGUCCUUCAAGUCGCGUGUGAAAGCCCCCGGCUCAACUGGGGAGGGUCACGCGAUACUGAUCGACUCGAAGGCAGGAGAGGGUAGUGGAAUUCCCGGUGUAGUGGUGAAAUGCGUAGAUAUCGGGAGGAACACCAGUGGCGAAGGCGACUACCUGGCCUGUUCUUGACGCUGAGGCGCGAAAGCUAGGGGAGCAAACGGG